UCCCGCCUUCAAGCAGUGCCUUUUAUGUAGUCCUGAGCUAUCCCCGGGGGGUCAGUCCACAGACAGGGAGAACAAAAUAGCAACUAAAUUAGAGAAGCCCGAAGAGGCUGCCUUCUUUCUCUAGGAAACAGCUCCUGACUGGCAAAGUUCACUAGGUCUCAAGAAGGGCAAUCCUCUCCCAAACCUCUUCUGUCCUCGACCACUUGGCAUGGGUGUGAGGGUAAGGGGGCUGAGAGCCCUGCUGAUCUGCUCCUACUGAGCUUCCCAUAAACAGUUCUGGGCUGCCUGCAGAUGUUGGGGACAAGAGAGGAUUCACGGGCGUGCUAGAACAAGUGACGGCGUGCGACUUGCUUUCUAUCGUGGUCAGCAAGGCUGAGACCAUGCGCUCCUGUCAUACAGCCUGCAGGAUGGCCCCUCGCUGCAUGGGAACAAGUUUCUCAUGCAUAAGGUAGCUCCACCCCUUCUUCACAGGCGGCUGUACUGGGAAGCAAAUGAUUUAGUGUUCCUGCCAGAGGAUCAUACAAAGGGAGAGCUCAUUAGAGGGGGCUCUGUCUGUCAGGUGCUGCUGCCUUAGACUCAGAGAGUCAUCAUCAAACGCCUUUCAGGCUGGUUCUUGGCUGACAAUUAACUGCAAGCCAUUGCCUGUGUGUCACGGGGAGGCAAGGGUGCUCAUUUACGCCGCAGUUUAAUUAGCCAGCCGCAAGCCUCGGCUCCUGUAUUUGUUUCUACUCAAGCCUGCUUCAUUUCUCCCCCAUAUUUCUGACAUUUGGAUUUUCCCCUACUAAUUGACAUGCCUGUCCCCUCCUUCUCCUGGUGUCCAUUUCUGGAACUGCUAUUUGUGUGUUGCAUGAUAUUUUAUCAGGGGAAAAAAAAAUAAAACUGAGAUCCAAUUUCAUGAAAAUGCUGUUGCCGUAUGCCCAGGAGGACAGGGGGAGGAGAGAGUCAAGUCUUCCUCCGUCUACCUCAUACGCAGCAGAAAGAAGAUUGUCAAAGUGGCAAACAGUGAAAGAUUCCUGAAGAGUGGAAGUAGACAUUUGCAGAGCACACGAAGCAGAUUAGGGUGCGUGCCCAGGUGUUCCAGGCUGCCAGUCUCUGCUAUGCUGGAUGGAGAGGGACACAAUGAGAGGAAGUCGAGGCAGAUACCAGUGUAUGAAAGUUGGAAAAUCACUAAAGGAUUCAGAUGGGGGUCUUUCAGAAGACAGCUUGACUACAACCUGGUCAACAAGCCCAUGAUUUGUCUAGAUUCACCUGGAACCUGAAGGCAAUGCAGCUUGGGGCAUCCUUUGCUAUAAGCAAAAUAAUAGCAAGAACAAGGACUCCAAACUAAGAAUGUACAAUUAGGUAGAAAAUCAAACAAUUUUUUAAAAUUUAAAAAAAAAUUGCCUGGACAAGUGGAAAAAGUACUAAUUUUAGAAGGACUGCAAAUGCUCACGGUUAAACAUGGGAACUAAGAAACUCUUCUUGCAGGAUUCCGAUAGCAUACCUCACUAUUCGCCUAAAAGAACAUUACUUCUCCAGCAAGUUGGUAUUGGAAGUGGAGUCUUCUACUGGUAAUCUUGCACAUCUGAUUUCUGAAGAAACCCCCCUAGAGCAGGUUCCUGCUCUGUGCGGUUUAAAGGAGGCCUCCCCUUGAAGCUGUGUGAACUGAGCGACUGGCAUCAGAAGCCAUGGGACACCCCGACAUCACAAAAGGAGCACUGGGGCUCUGCUUCCCGUCAGGGAGAUCCCUAGAAGCCAUUCGUUCCCACCCAGGAAGGCCAGCACUUGGAAACAAUUGCCAGCCACAAAAAUAGCCCCCACUUAACGCCAAUUAAACCUAUUCCCAUCUUGACUUCUCUUUAGCUACAGCCCCAAAGGCUCGUCACUUUGUGGGCACUCCACUCCAGCAGGAGGAACAUGGAGGGGAGGCUGGAACUGAAAAUGAAAACAGUCUUAAGUAACCAUGGCUAAAUAUAUCUCGUUUGUAAUAGAUUUUACAAGCACACCCAACCAUGAGGACACAUUGCAAGAACUCCUCCCUUCCCCUGGAAGAAGCCUGUGCAGCUAAGAGGGUCACGGCUCAAGCUUACUUGCUGAUCCGCUGUAGACAGAGCCUCACCCAGGCUCUGAGUGUAACUGGGGAUACCAGUCUGUAAACAGUGGCAACAGCGAAUGACUGAAAGUAACCACAGUGUCCACGGACUAAAAAUGAUAUAUUUGAAAGGCCAUUAGCAAGUAAAAGCAGGAUGAUGCUGUGGCAACUAGGAAUGAACAGGGAUGGCAAAAUAAAAGGAGCAUGGCGCCAUCUAACCUGGCUCGCAUCCUCCAGCUUUAACUAACAUGUUCACAUGCAGUUCCAGUGUGAGGUGCAGAGACGGCCAUCACAGAGAUAGAGGCCUGACACAGGAAGAAAUACCAGGGCUAUCUGCGGGAGGCAGUUAAAGAUAAAGAAAACUGUGGUCAGGUGA